rnacentral:rRNA from 1 species
AUACGUAGGUCCCGAGCGUUGUCCGGAUUUAUUGGGCGUAAAGCGAGCGCAGGCGGUUUAAUAAGUCUGAAGUUAAAGGCAGUGGCUUAACCAUUGUUCGCUUUGGAAACUGUUAGACUUGAGUGCAGAAGGGGAGAGUGGAAUUCCAUGUGUAGCGGUGAAAUGCGUAGAUAUAUGGAGGAAAACCGGUGGCGAAAGGGGCUCUCUGGUCUGUAACUGACGCUGAGGCUCGAAAGCGGGGGGAGCAAACAGGAUUAGAUACCCUGGUAGUCCACGCCGUAAACGAUGAGUGCUAGGUGUUAGGCCCUUUCCGGGGCUUAGUGCCGCAGCUAACGCAUUAAGCACUCCGCCUGGGGAGUACGACCGCAAGGUUGAAACUCAAAGGAAUUGACGGGG